rnacentral:rRNA from 1 species
UAGGGAAUAUUGCGCAAUGGGGGAAACCCUGACGCAGCAACGCCACGUGUGGGAAGAAGCAUUUCGGUGUGUAAACCACUGUCGAUUGGGAAUAAACGUCGGUUUCGGCCGGCCUGAAUGUACCAACAAAGGAAGCACCGGCAAACUUCGUGCCAGCAGCCGCGGUAAUACGAGGGGUGCAAGCGUUGUUCGGAAUCACUGGGCGUAAAGGGAGCGUAGGCGGAACUCCAAGUCGGUCGUACAAUGCCGGGGCCCAACCCCGGACCUGCGGCCGAGACUGGUUUUCUUGAGUUAUUCAGAGGCAAGCGGAAUUCCUAGUGUAGCGGUGGAAUGCGUAGAGAUUAGGAAGAACACCAAUGGCGAAGGCAGCUUGCUGGGGAUUGACUGACGCUGAGGCUCG